rnacentral:tRNA from 1 species
GGGUAUAUGGCUUAGUGGUAGAGUACUUGCCUGGAAUGCAUGAAGUCCUGGGUUUGAUUCCUCAGUACCA